GCCGUUUUGGGGUCGCAGCGGGGUGGCAGCUUGUUUUGCCUUCACGGGAGUAGAAGGAGGCGGCGUCCGGCCGCGGCCGACGGUAGUUCGCUUCCCCGAGAGUGCGCGGAGGCCCGGGUGCGAGGAGGGCCUGUUUCUCUUCAGCCCUGGUUCAUUCACCUCGCGGACCGAGGGCCCCGCCGUCAGGAGCCGGCGACCGUGCCCUGUGAUGGUCAUUGUCCUCCAGAGCAGUGAUGGAGGAAAUACCAGCCCAGGAAGCAGCAGGGUCACCAAGGGUCCAGUUUCAGUCUUUGGAGACCCAGUCUGAGUGUCUGUCCCCAGAGCCUCAGUUUGUGCAGGACACCGACAUGGAACAGGGACUCACUGGGGGAGUUUGUGACAUUCGAGGAUGUGGCUGUGCACCUUACUCGAGAGGAAUGGGGAUACCUGGACCCUGUUCAGAGGGACCUCUACAGAGAAGUGAUGUUAGAGAAUUAUGGGAACGUGGUCUCACUGGGCAUACUUCUCCGCCUUCCCACCACCCGGAUUCAUAGUGUGAAUUCCUGCCCGGCCCUGAGUCAUACCCAGGCAAGUGCUUUCUCUGGAGAAACACUUGCCGUCCUUACAGCAGGAAUCUCCAAGAGAUGGCCCAAGUAUCGGCUUCCCAUCGAUAUUGCUCGUCCCUGCUCGGAAACUCCUUUUCCACGAUUGUGAGAUAUUAAAAUUGACUGAUGGAAUAGAAGCUCCCCAGGAUGCCACCACUGUGUAAAAUCGCAGCUCCUCAAAUUACCUCUGUUUAAUUUCAAAUGUUAGGGUCCAAGGAAGCCCUCUGUUGCAACCAGAUAUGUUUUGAACCCAGUUCAUUCAGAAACCAUGGUUGGUGGUCAUCAUCUACUUGUAUUGUGAAAAACCAGAAAUUCCAAAUUCAGCUCUUCAGUUAUGGUCUUUUCAUAUUAUUUUAGAAUGUGAAACUUAUGCUGUGUGCCCCUCCUUUUAUGUGGCGAACACAACCUGCCCCGUAUGGUGCCUAACUCUCCUGUGAACCCUGGGCUUCCCUCAUGUUUAACAUUCUGGUUUCCUCCUUCCUUGAAGUCCCUGUGGCCCUCUUCAAGGUCCUACCUUCCUACCCUUUAUUCUUUGUGGUUCUGUACAGAUUGAUGCAAUUAUAUUGCCUUUCCUGAUUAAGUGUUCCUUACUCUGUCCUUGAUGGAGGGGAGAAGGGAGGGCAAAGAAGUUAAAUUUAUUUCAGGGCAUCAAAUUGAAUAUCUACUUAAUAACUUUGUAAACUGUAAAGUGACAUACAUAUAAUUGUAAAGUACUGUUAAUUUUAUCUAAUAAUUACAGAGUUUCC
rnacentral:lncRNA from 1 species